rnacentral:piRNA from 1 species
CCCUUCUGAGACUGACAGUGACAAC